AGGCAUCAUUCCAUACCAUGGCACUGCAUGGAGGGGUAUAGAUCUUCGGGGGAGCAUAGCUUCUGCUUGGUCGUGCUGCAGCUCAUGUAUUAUACUGGAAGACUCUGGUAGAAGUACCACGUGGUAUAAUGUGGAUUGAUGCAUAAGCCAGAUCCUGAGAAAGGGGACCUCUGCUUGUAUGAUACUGAGAAAAUGUUUGAAGUGGUCUGCUGUCAACUUGCUCUGUUGGAUGAUAUCUCAAGACUCAGAAUUCAGUAACAUGCUUGACACAGGCAAGUAAACCCACUCUUCACAGCUCACUCUUGAAGAUAAACAACUACCAUGCUCAUAGAA